UACCCCAAGGAAGAACAUUGAUCUGAGGUCAACCUUUUAAAAAUUGGGGGUUUAGCGGCUGGAGCACGCCGGGACGAUCCGAACGAGGUUCGCGUUUUACCGCGUUUUACUGCGCUCAGUGUACCGACGAGCCCGCCGAUGAACUUGGGGGCAGGGGCCGCGGAGGGCCCGGGCGCCCCAACACCAAGCCGAGGCUUGAGGGUUGAAAUGACGCUCGAACAGGCAUGCCCGCCGGAAUACCGGCGGGCUUCCGUGCGUUCAAAGAUUCUAUGAUUCAUUGAAUUCUGCAAUUCCGGUUAAUUAUCACAUUUCGCUGCGUUCUUCAUCGAUGCAAGAACCAAGAGAUCCGUUGAUGAAAGUUUUGAUUAUUUGUACAUCAAGCCCAAAAAUAGUGAAAAUAAUAUUAUUAUUGCCCCUCCGGAAGCGGCUCCCCCGUCCCCAACAAAUUUGAUGUUGAGCGAUGGUGCAGGACGAAUAACCAAUGAAAUUCAGCCCAUGAUCAACCGAAGGAGAUCAUUACUGAGUUGAAAAACUCCCCCCCUGUGAACAUAACCUCUGUCGUUGCUUCGGCGGGCACGCCCGCCGGAGGUUCAAAACUCUUAUUUUUUCCAGUAUCUCUGAGCCUGAAAGACAAAUAAUCAAAACUUUCAACAACGGAUCUCUUGGUUCUGGCAUCGAUGAAAAACGCGCGAAAUGCGAUAAGAUAAUGUGAAUUGCAAAAUUCGUGAAUCAUCAAUCUUUGAAGCCAUUGCCCGCGCCUAUUCCGGCGGGCAUGCCUGUUCAGCGUCAUUUUCACCUCAGCCCUCCGCUUUGGUGUUGGGGGCGGCCCCGGGGCCCUCUCCGGCGCGGGGGCCCCACAUUUAUAAGAGGGGGUGGGUGUCUCUAUGAAGGGAAAAAAACGUAGAAAAAAAAACCUAUCUUUAUUUAUCUGCAGCCGUGACUCUCUCUCUCUCCCCUGUUUUUUUUAUGUGUGCCCCGGCACAGGGUGGCAAAUCCCCGGCUGACUUUUAACUAUAAGGCGAGGGAAAAAACUGG
rnacentral:misc_RNA from 1 species